AAAAUAGAUGCAUUAAUUUUCUAAGUGAGGCUCCAACACUUAGAAAAAAUAAAUAUUUUGCCACCAAAACAGUUUUCAGAUUCACCGAAAUGGCUUUGUAUUGUUUCUCGUUUCAAAAAAAAAGGCUUUGUAUGGUUUCUCAGAAUCAUAAACUGAAGUCUCUUUCUCCAAUCUCUCUCGCGAAAUCAUCGUCUCUUCAUCUCCAUCUCUCCUCCGUCGUGUUUGUCGGUCAGUAUUUUCAUGGCUUCCACCGGACAAACCUCCAAUCUUCGUCGUUCACUUUCUCUUUUUAAGUUUGUCUUGAUUUGGGGGUUUUAGGUUUGGGUUUAGAUUUGCCUUGACUAUCUGUUUCUAGGUCCACACAUGUCUCGCCGAACUUUAUACCGUCGAAUCCUCCUCCGCCUCGCCGCCGUCACUCCUCACUUCCUCGCCUCAACGUCAGAUAUGCCGUCACCUCCGUUGGUUACAGAGAAGCAGCAGUUCCUGGAGCUUUCGACUUCACCAAUUCAUCCUCUCGGGGGCAAUCGAGUUUUGACGAGUUUUGUCCGAUUUGGUGAAGGCUUGGAAUUGGGAAAAGUAGAUUUCUGAGAAGCAGUGUUGGGAGUGGUCGUGAACUUGUAACGGGUCCACACAAAAACAAGAAGAAAGAAGGAUCCGUAAUUCAUCGAGAACAUCUCAUGUUUGUAAGUUUCAGAUGACAAAUAAUUCUCCAAGAACAGCUUGCUAGUUUCUAAGUCUGGCCUGAAGACAAUGAUCAUGAAAUUAAAACUGUAGAGGUCAUUGACCUAGAUCUGGGACACAACAAUCUAUAAGAAACAGAAGAUGAAUCCUCCGACAAGUAUAGCUCUGCGUGAAGACGUCAUUCAAAGAACUGUCUAUGUGUCUGAUAUUGACCAACAGGUCACUGAGGAGCAGCUUGAUUGUUUGUUCAUCGGCUUUGGGCAGGUCUACGUCUCUUCUACAAGUUCAUAUUUGUUUGUGACUCAAGAGUCAGUACUGGUCCUGUUUUUGGUCCUCAGGCUGAAGAUGAGCAUGAGAUGCGUGCGAGAAAAAUCUACUACACUAAGAUCGACACUAAGGUCACUCAAACGGACAUAAAACUCCUCUUUGAGGCUGCGUGUGGAGAGGUAUAGCGUCUGAGGCUUCUGGGAGAUUAUCAUCAUCCCCAACUAGAAUCGGUUUCGUUGAGUUUGUCAUGGCUGAAAGUGCAGUAACUACUCUCAAUUGCAGCGGCGUGCUUCUUGGCUCUUUACAUAUAAGGCCCAAAAAACAAACCAUUUUCUCAAAUAUUUUGUGUUACUUGGUUAUGAAUCCGAACGUUGACGUGUUUUUGAUGGUUUGAUCACAGGGUGAGUCCCUCAAAUGCACAUGUUUGUUCCCGUGCUAUCUCUGCUCUCCCAGACAUAAUAUGCUUUUAAAAUGUUAGGAUAUUCUGAGAGGUCAACCAGAUGCAGGGUUUUCCCUUUUUCCACAAUCAGAAAAUAUGAAUCUUGACGACAGAGGAGGCAAGGCGUGGUCGUGCGGUGGAGAUGUGAGCAUCGUUGUGCGGAGGUUUUCAUGGGUGAGCCAGUAUUGUUUCCUCUAUUGUGAAUAUCCAACAGGGUGAAAAUGUGGUUUGGCUCUUCUUAGGUGUUGCCAAUACGAGUAUCAUUCUCCAUGAUGAUGAGUUCCUGAAGUACUUCAAAAUAUCAUCAAGAGAACUUUAGGUUUGAGAGAAUGUAACUUAUAUUUACGUAUGUCAUGAGAGCUGGAACUCGAAGCUUUCUUAGCUUAUUUGUUUUUUACACUUUUAAUGUUUUGAUUUGAUUUAAGUUUCUUAUUAAAUAAUUGAAUCGAUGUGGUUUGAGUUUUCAAAUAUGUUUAUGGAAAGUGUUUUCGUGAAAAAAAAUCUAGAAUAAUUCUCAGACAAAAAAUGAUUGAUCAUCAAAUAUGCAAUGACACUAUACAUCAAGAAAACUACGUUAGCUUCCACUCUAUGACAUAAACCCUGCCUGCCAAAGAGUAUUUCAAACCCUAAACCCCAAAACUUAACCUCAAACCUUAUAUCAUACUUCAAACCCUAAACUUUAAAUACAAAAUCUAAAAUUUAAACUUGAUCCUUAAUCAAAACUAAAAAUUUAUUCAUUUUAAAAGUCAAACAUUAAAUCUUAAAUCUACACCAUAUAUCUAAUAACUUAUACCCCAAACUUAAACUAUACGUACAAAAUCAUAGAUCAAAUCUUUACAAACCUAUAAUAGAGACAUUAAAUUUAAACUCCGACUAUAUUCGAAAACUCAAAUCAUAUACUUAAUCCCAAAUAUUAACACUAACCCCUAAACUAUAUAUCUCAUUUUUAAAUAUAUCAUAAAACAUUGAAUCUUAACUUUUAAAUAAAUUAUAAUUCCCUACAAAAAUUAAAAUUUCCAAUACAAAAUUUAGAUUUCAAGUUUUAAGUUAUGAUACUAAAGUAUUUAAAGCUUAGAUGAUUUUUAUAAUAGUUAUAGAUAAAUAAAAAGACAAUUUGUAUUGUUUUUUUUUUGAACCAUUGAUUGAUUUGGAUCAAAGGUCUAAAAUGAUUCUUGUGUCAAUCCUCACCUUUUGUUCCUAUUGGUUUACUUGUUUUUAAUGACACGGAUCAACUUCUCCACCUUUGGAUGAUAUUGAAUCGAAGCUUCAGAUUAAUUAUUCUUUUAUUCCUUUUUAAUUUUUUUUUCUGAGAUCUACGAGUCACAGAAACGAGAGAGAGAGAGAUGAAGUUCGUAGAAGGUAGAGAAAGGAGAAGACACGACGCGACGCGACGUCACCACCACCAUCGCUCGUUACCAUCACCACCAUCGCCAUAUCUCCCAUCCCCAAUCGCUCGUCACCACCACCAUCGCUUCUCAGAUCUGUCUUCACCGGAGUCGCCACCACCACCGUCACGCUCGUCAUAACCACGACUGAUCACUUCUCUGUCUCUCACUCUAUGUCUCUUAUUCUCUCUGUGUUUUUUUUUUCUUGUUACAUGAAGCUUGUUCGUAAGAAACUGGUCAUUGAUAAGGCGAAGUAAAGUUUUAUGCUUUAUAUGGUUUGAUUUGAAGUUAAAGUUCGUUUCUUUACCUUUUGUUACAUAGCCUCUCUCUAGAAAAGCCUCUCGCCUCUCUCUAGAAAAGAAAAAGAAAUCCAUCGUUGUCACCGGCGUAGGCGGCUCGCCGCCGGCGUCGGUUUCUCUUCCUUCCCUCUCUUGUUUUAUGUUUGCUUCGCUUCUCUGUCUCCUCUCCCUUGCUGAUAUACUGAAGUCCUGAGGUUUCUCGUCUGAAGACGGAAUUGGGGUCCGACCAUGGCGGUUUUUAGAGUUGUCUGCUGUCUGUCGUACCAUUUUACUUGGGUCUUUCUUGUGAGCCUCUGUUUAUCCCCUUCUAGGGCUGUUUCAAAUCGGAUUUAGAGUCUUUGUUUUUCUUAUUUCUCAGCUGUUUUGUUUUAUUGUUUCUGUUUCUCAUGUUAAACUCUGUAACCUUCUUCUCUGUUUUAAUAUGAAAGCCAGUUAAAAAAAAAAAAAAAGUUUGUUUCUUUAGUUAUGUGUGUUGCAGAAAUCCAAGAGGGAUGACUUGUCUGAUUUGUUUUCAUCAUUCUGUAAUUUUCAUGUGUUUGUUCAUUACAUGCUCGUAAGAGACUCAGCUUGAUUAUUGAAAUGUGCUCUGCUUGUUUUAAUUUCAGUUAGAGACCAUUUGGUUCACUGAAAGACCAAGUUUACAUAUUUCUACUUUUUUCAUCCAACGAAGGCUUAUCAAUAUUUUUUUUGUUCCUGGUAAAGGUGGUGGUCGUGACUCGUGAGCAAGAACUGGUGUUGUGCAGAGGAGAUGUCUUGAACUUGUCUCCGUCUAGACUCACACGAAUGUUGCAGUCUCUCACUGGAAUGCCAAGUGCAGCCUUUGAAGACUUUAAGACAAUCGUGCUUAAGUAUGGGUGUUGAGAUAAGUUAUCUUGUACUGAUUGGUUCCAGUCUUAAGUAUGGGUGUAUGUUCUCAAUCAUUGUAUUUACCAACACUUGUUUUGUGUGCUUUUCAGAUACUGCUGAAGCUAGAGGAAAGUGGAAGAGACAGAUGAACCUUGAGGAAGGUCGAAGUGAAACAAGGAGCUUGAGGAAGGCGGCAGCUUAGGUUUAGGUUAAGGGUUAAUUAGAUUUUGGUUUAAUGUGUUUUAAUUAGUUUUUUUUAAUAUGUACUGGUUUAGUUUUGUAAAAUUGAUUUUAUUUGUAAACUGAUUUUAAUAAUUUAAAUUCUUUUUAUUACAA